rnacentral:rRNA from 1 species
UUAACAAAAACACAGGUCUAUGCUAAGCUGAAAGGCGAUGUAUAUGGGCUGACACCUGCCCAGUGCCGGAAGGUUAAGAGGAGGAGUGAGAGCUCCGAAUUGAAGCCCCGGUGAACGGCGGCCGUAACUAUAACGGUCCUAAGGUAGCGAAAUUCCUUGUCGGGUAAGUUCCGACCUGCACGAAUGGUGUAACGAUUUGAGUGCUGUCUUGGCGGGAGGCCUGGUGAAGUUGUAUUAUGGGUGAAGAUACCCAUUACCUGCAGCAGGACGGAAAGACCCCAUGGAGCUUUACUGUAGCUUGGUAUUGGGUCUUGAUGCUGUGUGUAUAGGAUAGUUGGGAGACUUUGAUUGUAGGCCGCCAGGUUUACAUGAGUCGUUGGUGGAAUACCAACCACGCAGUAUUGGGAUUCUAAUCUGAGGUUUGUACCCUCGGAGACAGUGCUAGGUGGGCAGUUUGACUGGGGCGGUCGCCUCCGAAAGAGUAACGGAGGCGCUCAAAGGUUCCCUCAGGUUGGAUGGAAAUCAACCGCAGAGUGCAAAGGCAUAAGGGAGCUUGACUGCAAGACUGACAAGUCGAGCAGGUGCGAAAGCAGGACUUAGUGAUCCGGCGAUUCCGAAUGGAAGGGUCGUCGCUCAACGGAUAAAAGCUACCCUGGGGAUAACAGGCUGAUUCUGCCCGAGAGUCCAUAUCGACGGCAGAGUUUGGCACCUCGAUGUCGGCUCAUCUUAUCCUGGGGCUGGAGAAGGUCCCAAGGGUUGGGCUGUUCGCCCAUUAAAAAGGUACGUGAGCUGGGUUCAGAACGUCGUGAGACAGUUCGGUCCCUAUCCGCUGCAGGCGCUAGAGUAUUGCGAAGAUCUGCCCUUAGUACGAGAGGACCGGGGUGGACAAACCUCUGAUGUAUCAGUUGUCACGCCAGUGGCAUAGCUGGGUAGUCACGUUUGGAAUGGAUAACCGCUGAAAGCAUCUAAGUGGGAAACCAACUUCAAGAUAAGUACUCUUUAACUUUAAGUUAAUAAGUCACCUUCGAGACUAGGAGGCUUAUCGUGACUGGGAAAC